GAUGAACGCUGGCGGCGUGCCUAAUACAUGCAAGUCGAGCGAACAGACGAGGAGCUUGCGCCUUUGACGUUAGCGGCGGACGGGUGAGUAACACGUGGAUAACCUACCUAUAAGACUGGGAUAACUUCGGGAAACCGGAGCUAAUACCGGAUAACAUGUUGAACCGCAUGGUUCAACAGUGAAAGACGGUCUUGCUGUCACAUAUAGAUGGAUCCGCGCCGCAUUAGCUAGUUGGUAAGGUAACGGCUUACCAAGGCAACGAUGCGUAGCCGACCUGAGAGGGUGAUCGGCCACACUGGAACUGAGACACGGUCCAGACUCCUACGGGAGGCAGCAGUAGGGAAUCUUCCGCAAUGGGCGAAAGCCUGACGGAGCAACGCCGCGUGAGUGAAGAAGGUCUUCGGAUCGUAAAACUCUGUUAUUAGGGAAGAACAAAUGUGUAAGUAACUAUGCACGUCUUGACGGUACCUAAUCAGAAAGCCACGGCUAACUACGUG
rnacentral:rRNA from 1 species